rnacentral:rRNA from 1 species
GACGAACGCUGGCGGCGUGCUUAACACAUGCAAGUCGAACGGAAAGGCCCUGCUUUUGUGGGGUGCUCGAGUGGCGAACGGGUGAGUAACACGUGAGUAACCUGCCCUUGACUUUGGGAUAACUUCAGGAAACUGGGGCUAAUACCGGAUAGGAGCUCCUGCUGCAUGGUGGGGGUGGGAAAGUUUCGGCGGUUGGGGAUGGACUCGCGGCUUAUCAGCUUGUUGGUGGGGUAGUGGCUUACAAAGGGUUUGACGGGUAGCCGGCCUGAGAGGGUGACCGGCCACAUUGGGACUGAGAUACGGCCCAGACUCCUACGGGAGGCAGCAGUGGGGAAUAUUGCACAAUGGGCGGAAGCCUGAUGCAGCAACGCCGCGUGCGGGAUGACGGCCUUCGGGUUGUAAACCGCUUUCGCCUGUGACGAAGCGUGAGUGACGGUAAUGGGUAAAGAAGCACCGGCUAACUACGUG